UCUGGCUCAGAACGAACGCUGGCGGCGCGUCUUAAGCAUGCAAGUCGAACGGCAAGAGGUAGCAAUACCUCCUAGAGUGGCGGACUGGUGAGUAACACGUGGGUGACAUACCUUCAGAUGGGGAUAGCUAUUAGAAAUAGUAGAUAAUACCGAAUACGAGCACAGGGGUUAGAGAUCUGUGAGGAAAGGAGCUAAGGCUCCGCUGAAGGAAUGGCCUGCGGCCCAUUAGCUAGUUGGUGAGGUAAGAGCCCACCAAGGCGAUGAUGGGUAUCCGGCCUUAGAGGGUGAACGGACACAUUGGGACUGAGAUACGGCCCAGACUCCUACGGGAGGCAGCAGCUAAGAAUAUUCCGCAAUGGACGAAAGUCUGACGGAGCGACGCCGCGUUGGAUGAAGAAGGCCGGAAGGUUGUAAAAUCCUUUUGAAACUGAAGAAUAAGCGUUGUAGGGAAUGACAGCGUGGUGACAGUAGGUUUUGAAUAAGCAACGGCUAAUUACGUGCCAGCCGCCGC
rnacentral:rRNA from 1 species